rnacentral:rRNA from 1 species
AGAGUUUGAUCAUGGCUCAGAAUCAACGCUGGCGGCGCGCUUAACACAUGCAAGUCGAACGAGAAAGUCCGCAAGGAUGAGUAAAGUGGCGUACGGGUGAGUAACACGUGGAUUAUCUGCCCUGAAGUGGGGAAUAACAAUGGGAAACCGUUGCUAACACCGCAUAUUCCCGAGAGGGGAAAGCAGCAAUGCGCUUCAGGAGGAGUCCGCGGCCGAUUAGCUUGUUGGUAGGGUAAUGGCCUACCAAGGCUGCGAUCGGUAGCCGGCCUGAGAGGGCACACGGCCACACUGGCACUGAAACACGGGCCAGACUCCUACGGGAGGCAGCAGUGGGGAAUCUUGCACAAUGGGGGCAACCCUGAUGCAGCGACGCCGCGUGAGCGAUGAAGCCCUUCGGGGUGUAAAGCUCUUUCGGCAGGGAAGAUAAUGACGGUACCUGCAGAAGCAGCUGCGGCUAACUACGUGCCAGCAGCCGCGGUAAUACGUAGGCAGCAAGCGUUGUUCGGAGUUACUGGGCGUAAAGGGUGUGUAGGCGGCUUUCUAAGUUUGGUGUGAAAUCUCCCGGCUCAACCGGGAGGGUGCGCCGAAGACUGGGAGGCUAGAGUAUGGGAUGGGAGAGUGGAAUUCCUGGUGUAGCGGUGAAAUGCGUAGAUAUCAGGAGGAACACCUGCGGUGUAGACGGCUCUCUGGACCAUUACUGACGCUGAGACACGAAAGCGUGGGUAGCAAACAGGAUUAGAUACCCUAGUAGUCC